GUUGAAACACCAUUCCUCGUACGAUCACUGAAUUUAAGCAACGUCAAGCCUAGUCAGUAGCAAGAUGGGUGACCGCUUGGGAAUGCCAGGUACU